GAGCGGCGGGCAUUUGGUCUGAAGCAAGUAUGGUUUAUACAAAUUCUACCACCAGCCACAGUGGUUUCAGUGCCAUUAGCGUAAUUGGAUUUUGCAUUUUAUGGGCAUUGGGCUGUUGGGUCCUUCGGGUUUUUCUUCUGCGAAUCCCUCUCGGACACUGACUCUCCGUCAUCGGUUUCUUCAUCCGUCUCCACCGUAUUGAUUACCAUUUCACUCGAAUGCCAUACAUUCACAUGAAAUUAUUAGGUGCAACAGUAUCUGUUAAUCUUGCUCCAAAUUCUGCUAUCUGGAAGACUUUCUAUUACCCAGUUGCCAACGUCAAUCUUCCAUCAAAUGUGAUGCCAAUGAAUCAGCAGAUAUCUAUAUGCAGGAAUGAUUCAUUAUCUUCUCCUUUCAAUGUCUUCAACAGAACAAAUUCUUCCCAGUCCUUGCUGUUCAUUGUUGCUGAGGGUAGAAUUUCCAACUCUGGUGAGUGCUACAAGUCUAAAUGUUCCUCGGGUUCCUUUGAGAAGCAGGUUUCGAGCAGAAAUAUCGGCGAUGACGAUUGCCCAGAAAAUUGUGAAACUGAAAAUGACAAGGAGUGGCAAAGACGAAGAAAAAUAGGAGUGGCAAAUAAGGGCAAAGUACCAUGGAACAAGGGCAAGAAACACAGCUUGGAAACUCGUAAGCGAAUCAAGCAGAGAACAAUUGAAGCCUUGAAAAACCCCAAGGUGAGGAGGAAGAUGUCCGAAUAUCCCCGCCCCACUCAUAGUGAUCAGGUCAAAACUAAAAUUAGCUCCUCACUCAGACGUGUAUGGGGAAAGAGAUUAUUGAAGAAGAGAUUAAACGAGGCAUUCUUCCGGUCUUGGAAGGAAAGCAUAGCUGUUGCUGCGAAGAAAGGAGGGAAGGAAGAACAAGAACUUGACUGGGACAGCCAUGACAAGAUAAUACAAGAAAUGCUUCAUCAAAAGCUUAAAAUGGUUGAAGAGAAGGAAAAAUUAAAGCUGAUGAGAGCAGAGAAUGCGAAAAAGAGGAAAAUCCAAGGAAGGGGUGCCAAAAUAAAGAAAAGGAAAAUGUGUUCUAGAAGAAGAAAUGGAGGAAAAAGAAAGAUGAAAGAGGUAGAAGACAUCCAGAGAACGUUGAAGGAGCUAACUGCAAUUGAAAGAUCGAGACUUAAGCAAAGAUUGAAGAAGAUUCGCAAAAAGAUUGCAAUAAACAGUGUAGUUGCUGCUCAAGGAAGCGUUGCAUCAGUGGUGCCCCGAGGCACAACCUGGGAAAAACUGGAUCUAGAUCUUAUAAAGAAGGGUAAACUGAGGGAAGGAGUGUCGCUGGCAGAUCAAAUUCAAUUUGCCAAGAUCAGAAAAGCAGAAUCUAUAGCUUGCAAAAUUCUUGUAGCCUCUACUUUGUCGUACGGAUGCGCCGGGGAGCGUAAAGAUAACUUUUGACUGACCUUCACUGCUUGCAAGAAGAAAAUUUUCUGGUGUCUGAAGGUGACUUUUCCUCCCAUCCAAGGUGAUUUUCAUCACACACACACACACAUUUAUAUCCAUUGGAGUUGCAGAAUCUUCUUCAAUUCGUCACGGAGUAAAAAGGCUGCUACAGCUCACGAGCUUUUGAUGACUUGAAGAAAGGUAGUUAGAAGAAGUUAAAAGUUUUACUUUGCAGGAUGGAUUCUGAUAAGCGAUCGAGCAAGAGCUUCACGUCCAUGGCAGCAGAUAGAUGGCUUGCCUAUUGCUCUGCCUGCUUCAUAAUUGUGUGCGGUUCAGAGAGCUAUUGCCAUUGCCAUACCAGUAAAUGAGCGACAAUACAGGAGCGUUGAGGGGGGCAUUGUUGCAAGAAAAUGUGGCCAAAUGAGAUUGCCC